AGUGGCAAGCGUUAUCCGGAAUUAUUGGGCGUAAAGCGUCCGCAGGCGGCCCUUCAAGUCUGCUGUUAAAAAGUGGAGCUUAACUCCAUCAUGGCAGUGGAAACUGUUGGGCUUGAGUGUGGUAGGGGCAGAGGGAAUUCCCGGUGUAGCGGUGAAAUGCGUAGAUAUCGGGAAGAACACCAGUGGCGAAGGCGCUCUGCUGGGCCAUAACUGACGCUCAUGGACGAAAGCCAGGGGAGCGAAAGGGAUUAGAUACCCCUGUAGUCCUGGCCGUAAACGAUGAACACUAGGUGUCGGGGGAAUCGACCCCCUCGGUGUCGUAGCCAACGCGUUAAGUGUUCCGCCUGGGGAGUACGCACGCAAGUGUGAAACUCAAAGGAAUUGACGGGGGCCCGCACAAGCGGUGGAGUAUGUGGUUUAAUUCGAUGCAACGCGAAGAACCUUACCAGGGUUUGACAUCCUGCGAACCUCUUGGAAACGAGAGGGUGCCUUCGGGAACGCAGUGACAGGUGGUGCAUGGCUGUCGUCAGCUCGUGUCGUGAGAUGUUGGGUUAAGUCCCGCAACGAGCGCAACCCACGUCUUUAGUUGCCAGCAUUUAGUUGGGCACUCUAGAGAGACCGCCGGUGAUAAACCGGAGGAAGGUGUGGAUGACGUCAAGUCAUCAUGCCCCUUACAUCCUGGGCUACACACGUACUACAAUGCUAUGGACAAAGAGCAGCAAGUUCGCGAGGACAAGCAAAUCUCAUAAACCGUGGCUCAGUUCAGAUCGUAGGCUGCAACUCGCCUACGUGAAGGAGGAAUCGCUAGUAAUCGCAGGUCAGCAUACUGCGGUGAAUACGUUCC
rnacentral:rRNA from 1 species